UACGUAGGGGGCGAGCGUUGUCCGGAUUUAUUGGGCGUAAAGAGCGUGUAGGCGGCCAGGUAGGUCUGCUGUGAAAACUCGAGGCUCAACCUCGAGACGUCGGCGGAAACCAUCUGGCUAGAGUCCGGAAGAGGAGAAUGGAAUUCCUGGUGUAGCGGUGAAAUGCGCAGAUAUCAGGAAGAACACCCGUGGCGAAGGCGGUUCUCUGGACCGGAACUGACGCUGAGGCGCGAAAGCGUGGGGAGCGAACAGG
rnacentral:rRNA from 1 species